rnacentral:rRNA from 1 species
UACAGAGGCCCCAAGCGUUACUGAGAAUCACUGGGUUUAAAGGGUGCGUAGGUUGUCCGUUAAGUUCGUUGUGAAAGCCCUGGGCUCAACCCAGGAACUGCACUCGAAACUCCCGGUCUUGAGUGGUGGAGAGGGAAGUGGAAUUCCUGGUGUAGAGGUGAAAUUCGUAGAUAUCAGGAGGAACACCAGUGGCGAAGGCGGCUUCCUGGACACCAACUGACGCUGAGACGCGAAAGCGUGGGGAGCAAACAGG